GGUUGCUUGCGUUAAACGUAUAAACUGUUAAAUUAGAUGGCGACUCUGCAUUAAACGUAUUUAUUUAAUUAAUCGGCGAUCGUAUUUCACCAGAGGACUAAGAUAAAACAACUCGAUUUAAAAUGUGAGCAGUUUUAGUGGAUCUGACGUUGAGGGAAAAAGUAUUUCGCUUUUUGUUUGGAGAUGAACGAGACAACACGAGGCACAGCGACAUAAAUAUGACCAACCAGAUCCCAAGUAGACAGAAACAAAUGAAGAUAUAGCGCAUAGAAAGACUUAUUCUUGGUGAUCAACUGCUAUUGACAUUUUUUAAUCGGGUCAAAUGUGGAGUGAAGAAAAACGUUUGCAACACAUCCAUUCCAGAGUGCUCUGACAGAUAAAACUGACACGCUUGAUGAGGACACAGUCAAAGCUUUAAAAGCCCGUGUGAUAAAGCAGUCUUCAGUCUACUACGGUGUCUGAAUUGCAUGAAGAAGUGACCCUCCACUUAAACAUGUGACAUCUAAACUGUUUUGUGUUUUAGUUCAGCUUUUUAUAGGUUUAUCUUAAGUUGGUUAAAGGCGGAGUGCACUAUUUUUGAAAGCCAAUGUUAACAUUUGAAAUUACCUAAACAAACAUGCCUCUACCCCAAUAGAAUCUGGACCUUCUUUUGAUAGAGUCACCACACACAUACGCAACCCCGGCAAGGAUGUCAGUUAGUAGACACGCCCCUUACUGCUGGUUGGCUACAAGUGUGUUUUGGUAGUCGGCCCAAUUUCCUUUUCCAAAGCGUUUUUCAAACAUUGUGCACUCCGUCUUUAAAUUGCACUUAAACAUUUUUUUUUUUUCAUUAACUUUUUAUGCAGAGAAUUACAUUAUGAUUAUUAUAUAAUCAUUGCUUAUGAAUAUUUAGUGAUUGCAUAUUCAUAGUGUACUUUUCAUUAAUACAUUUAAUGUUAAUGUUGUACAAUUUGAUAGAAGUAGCUCUGUAAUUGCAUUUCUCUGAUAUUUGUUUUAUAUUGUUUCUCUUUGGUCAAGAGAUUAUGUAUGUCUCUGUGCUUGCUUGAUUAAUUUACUUUAGAUAUUUUUGUAAUGUACACAACACAAUAUGAAGUAUAUUAAAUUGUUCUGUAUUCAA